CGUCGUAACGGUUCCUUGUCGUC
rnacentral:snRNA from 1 species